CACGGGGGGAGCAAGCGUUGUUCGGAAUUACUGGGCGUAAAGGGCGUGUAGGCGGUCCGGUAAGUGAGAUGUGAAAUCCCUCGGCUCACCCGAGGACCUGCAUCUCAAACUGCCUGACUCGAGUACGGGAGAGGAUGUGGGAAUUCCUGGUGUAGCGGUGAAAUGCGUAGAUAUCAGGAGGAACACCGGUGGCGAAAGCGCACAUCUGGCCCGAUACUGACGCUGAGGCGCGAAAGCUAGGGGAGCAAACGGG
rnacentral:rRNA from 1 species